CUGCGGUGAUGACUGUCUUAGGACACCUUUGAAUUGAGUUGUGAAAAGAAAUGUGACCUCUGAGCAGC
ensembl:snoRNA SNORD58 Small nucleolar RNA SNORD58